UACGAAGGGGGCUAGCGUUGUUCGGAAUCACUGGGCGUAAAGGGCGCGUAGGCGGCCGAUCAAGUCGGGGGUGAAAGCCUGUGGCUCAACCACAGAAUUGCCUUCGAUACUGUUUGGCUUGAGACCGGAAGAGGUUAGUGGAACUGCGAGUGUAGAGGUGAAAUUCGUAGGUAUUCGCAAGAACACCAGUGGCGAAGGCGGCUGACUGGUCCGGUUCUGACGCUGAGGCGCGAAAGCGUGGGGAGCAAACAGG
rnacentral:rRNA from 1 species